AGUCAAGGAAACUUUUUUUAAGCUAUUGACAGCUUUUAACAACUUAGUAUACUCCUAAGAACAAAAUGUGGAGCAUAUUUCUCUUUACAUGAUUUCUCCAGAAUUUGGAAACUAUUUGGCAUGAGACUUCACAAAGUGCUAAAAUUGAGCUUUCCUAAUAAUGUGGGACCUACUCAUCUAGGAAUAAACCAUCCUAGCCAUGAGAGAUGAGACAAAACCUGAAACCAGAGACUCAUUUUCUUCUAAAAUGCUUUCUCCAAAAGAUUUUCAAAAGAAAAGUGGGAAGGUGAAAAGAAAAUAAAUUGGCGGUUCCAAAAUGGCCAAAUAGGAACAGCGCCAGUCUACAGCUCCCAGCUUGAGCGACGCAGAAGACGGGUGAUUUCUGCAUUUCAAACUGAGGCCUGGGAUAUAUAAGCCAAAAAGAAAACCCAGCAAACUCAGUGCAUUGAAUCCCAAAGUCCCUAACUAGUGUGCCUUCUCUUCACUUUUUGGAGUCUUCUUUUGUUUGUUUCAUCUGUGAAACACAGGGGACAUGGUGGUUAAAGGAGCUCCACAGACCUUCUCUCUCCAAAAAAUUACCAUAAAUGAUAAGUUGAAAAAAAUAUAAAAAACAAACAACAACUAAAAAAACAUUUCAAAGCUCUGGAAAUUGUCCUAAGGAUCACUGGAAGUGAAAAAACAUUUAUUUAAGAAAAUCCAAUAAAUCUUGGUAAGAACUUUGAGAUUCUGUGGCAUUUAAGCCACAAUCUUGUCUUCCCCUACCCAUAGCUCAGCAUGAUGAAAGCUUCAUUCCAAGGAGAUGUGGCCAAGAAACAGAGCUUCUUCUUUCUCAUUUUCCAGUCUAGAACUGUGGCGUCUCCCCAUGAGGGGCAGGCCUCCAACUUUUCUCAUUCUCUUAGCUCUGUGUUACAGAAGCUUUAUUGUAGGCAACAAUAGGGCUCUCGCAAAGCAUGUCUUACACCUAUAAUCCCAGCUCUUUGGAAGGCCAAGGUGAAGGAUUGCUUGAGUACAGGAAUUCAAGACCAGCCCUGGCAACAUAGCCAGACUUUAUCUCGACAAAAAUAAAAAAAAAA